rnacentral:rRNA from 1 species
CAAAGGCUUGGUCCUGACUUUUCUAUCAGCUCUAGCUAGAAUUACACAUGCAAGUAUCCGCGGCCCUGUGAGAAUGCCCUGACAGUUUUCUGCAUGAAAACAAGGAACUGGUAUCAGGCACCCCUAAACUUUUUGCCCACGACGCCUUGCUCUUAGCCACACCCUCAAGGGAACCCAGCAGUGAUAAACUUUAAGCUAUAAGUGAAAACUUGACUUAGUUAAAGCUAAUUAGGGCCGGUAAAACUCGUGCCAGCCACCGCGGUUAUACGAGAGGCCCAAGUUGACAGAUACCGGCGUAAAGAGUGGUUAAGGAAAGCCUGAAACUAAAGCCGAAUACCUCAGAGCAGUUAUACGCAUCCGAAAACACGAAGCCCUACCACGAAAGUGGCUUUACCAUUCCUGACCCCACGAAAGCUAUGAUACAAACUGGGAUUAGAUACCCCACUAUGCUUAGCCGUAAACAUUGAUAGAAUAGUACAUCCCAUCUAUCCGCCGGGGUACUACGAGCACCAGCUUGAAACCCAAAGGACUUGGCGGUACUUUAGAUCCCCCUAGAGGAGCCUGUUCUGUAACCGAUACCCCCCGUUUAACCUCACCCUCCCUCUCUCCUCUGUCUAUAUACCGCCGUCGUAAGCUUACCCUGUGAGGGUCUAAUAGUUAGCAAAAUUGGCACAGCCCAGAACGUCAGGUCGAGGUGUAGCAUAUGGGAGGGGAAGAACUAUGGGCUACAUUCGCUAAUGAAGCGAACACGAAUGGUGCACUGAAAACUGUGCGCUCUGAAGGUGGAUUAGCAGUAAGUGAGAA